GUGAACGCUGGCGGUAGGCCUAACACAUGCAGGUCGAACGGCAGCACAGUAAGAGCUUGCUCUUACGGGUGGCGAGUGGCGGACGGGUGAAGAAUACAUCGGAAUCUACUUUUUCGUGGGGGAUAACGUAGGGAAACUUACGCUAAUACCGCAUACGACCUACGGGUGAAAGCAGGGGAUCUUCGGACCUUGCGCGAUUGAAUGAGCCGAUGUCGGAUUAGCUAGUUGGCGGGGUAAAGGCCCACCAAGGCGACGAUCCGUAGCUGGUCUGAGAGGAUGAUCAGCCACACUGGAACUGAGACACGGUCCAGACUCCUACGGGAGGCAGCAGUGGGGAAUGUUGGACAAUGGGCGCAAGCCUGAUCCAGCCAUACCGCGUGGGUGAAGAAGGCCUUCGGGUUGUAAAGCCCUUUUGUUGGGAAAGAAAAGCAGCAGGUUAAUACCCCGCUGUUCUGACGGUACCCAAAGAAUAAGCACCGGCUAACUUCGUG
rnacentral:rRNA from 1 species